UGGUGGAGUGAUUUGUCUGGUUAUUCCGUUUACGAACGAGACCCCUGCCUGCUAAAUAGCCCAGCCAGUGAAUUCUCACUAGCUGUAGGCUUCUUAGAGGGACGUGCAUUCUAUUAGAUGCAGGAAGAUAGGGGCAAUAACA
rnacentral:rRNA from 1 species